rnacentral:RNase_P_RNA from 1 species
CGAGUAAGCCAGACAGCCGCGUGGGGCAACUCACGAGGAAAGUCCGAGCUCCAUAGGGCAAGGAUAGCGGGUAACGCCCGCCGAAGGCGACUUCAGGACCAGUGCAACAGAGAUAUACCGCCCCGCCGCCUUCCGCCGAAUGGCGGGAGACGGCGAGGUAAGGGUGGAAAGGCGAGGUAAGAGCUCACCGGCUGCCGGGAGACCGGCAGGCCCUGUAAACUCUAUCCGGAGCAACACCGACACGGGGGUUAAGUCUGCCCGGCGUCCCCGGACGGGUGGCUUGAGCCGCGGAGCAAUCCGCGGCCUAGAUAGAUGGCUGUCAAAUACAGAACUCGGCUUACAGACUUGCUCGCAAA